CGUACACUCCUACGGGAGGCAGCAGUGAGGAAUAUUGGACAAUGGGUGGAAGCCUGAUCCAGCCAUCCCGCGUGCAGGAAGACGGCCCUAUGGGUUGUACACUGCUUUUAUCUGGGGAUAAACCUACUUACGUGUAAGUAGCUGAAGGUACCAGAAGAAUAAGCACCGGCUAACUCCGUGCCAGCAGCCGCGGUAAUACGGAGGGUGCAAGCGUUAUCCGGAUUUAUUGGGUUUAAAGGGUCCGUAGGCGGACUGAUAAGUCAGUGGUGAAAUCCGACAGCUUAACUGUCGAACUGCCAUUGAUACUGUUAGUCUUGAGUAAGGUUGAAGUGGCUGGAAUAAGUAGUGUAGCGGUGAAAUGCAUAGAUAUUACUUAGAACACCAAUUGCGAAGGCAGGUCACUAAGUCUUAACUGACGCUGAUGGACGAAAGCGUGGGGAGCGAACAGGAUUAGAAACCCCUGUAGUCCC
rnacentral:rRNA from 1 species